GCGCGGUUAGCUCAGCGGUAGAGCAUCACCUUGACACGGUGGGGGUCACUGGUUCAAUCCCAGUAUCGCGCACCA
rnacentral:tRNA from 1 species